UACGGGGGGGGUAAGCGUUGUUCGGAAUUACUGGGCGUAAAGGGCUCGUAGGCGGCCAACUAAGUCAUACGUGAAAUCCCUCAGCUUAACUGGGGAACUGCGUGUGAUACUGGAUGGCUUGGAUUUGGGAGAGGGAUGCGGAAUUCCAGGUGUAGCGGUGAAAUGCGUAGAUAUCUGGAGGAACACCGGUGGCGAAGGCGGCAUCCUGGACCAAUGUUGACGCUGAGGAGCGAAAGCCAGGGGAGCAAACGGG
rnacentral:rRNA from 1 species